GAAGUGGGAUAGGCAGGGUCCCCAAGAGGUGAUCACUCCAGGUGGUGUCUAAGCCAGAGCUACCACUGAGCCUAGGAGCCCUGAUCCUCAAUAUUGAUAAUUAGACAAAACUUCCUCAAAAAUGUUAGAGGAAGAGUAAUAGGAUUGUGCUACAAUGAGCCAUGUCCAUCUCUCUCCUGUUGUAUACUUAAAAGAAACACUGACUGCAUUGAGGGGAAUCCUAAAAACAUAACCCUAACAUGGCACUGUUGCAAGACUGCCCCUUGGAUCCCAUAGUUUGUGUGGUACUUUUACCACCGAAUUGUUCACUAGUGACUUUAGAGAAACUCCAGAAGAGCUGCCUUGGCUUUCAGCAAGAGGCCUAGCAAAGACCAUGGCAUGAGGUCUCCAUGAGGGACAGCCGUGUGUGAGGUCUCGACUGGGCUCUGACCAUCCCCCAGGUUUUCCAUUGUGAAAAGGUCUCCUUCUUGGUUUAGCUAACCCACCAGCAUGACCUUACAAACUCUCUUUCCUCCUCC
rnacentral:lncRNA from 1 species